UCAAUAUCAGGCGAUGGAGCUCGCCUUCAAACAUUGCUGUUGCAAUUGAUGGCUCCUGCUGGCCU
rnacentral:ncRNA from 2 species